GGAAGCAAACGGGGCUCUCGGACGGUGUUUGCUGACUGUUCCCAGCACGCAUGCUAGCGAGGAGAAGGCAAGGUGGGGACGAAAGCAAUGCCAAGUAGUCCUCGCCCUCCGGGAAAGUGCAAGGCAGGAGGUGAGAGAAUAAUCAACUGAACACAGCAGUGACGCCUCAGUUACAAGGCAGAGGUGCAAGCGCAGAGCACUGGAGCCCGGGGCUGCCUGGGGCCCAGCACGGAUGGAAACCAGUGGCUCCCGUGAGCUUCACCGCGAAGAGCAGCGAAGAGUCAAGGAAAUGCGUAACGGGGAUCAAGGAAGAGUGAAGCACAGGAGGGACUAUGCUGCUUUGCAACCUGGGCGAGUGAAGGCCAGGGAGGGAAGGAACCAGAAGAAAAAGCAGGAAGACUGGGCACGGAGAUAAAGCACAAGACACCCAGGGGAGUUGUUUGCCGUCUCGGGAACCAGAAGAAUACUGAAUAAAAGUUCCAAAGCUACAGAAACACGCUGAUAAAUAGAAAAGGUCAGUGUGGGGAAAGAGCUACUCUUCUCAGUCUAGCCAGAUCCCUUCUCCGGGUCAGGGUCCAUAUGUCGACGUCCGAUCUGAGAACUAAAAUCAAGUAAAAUCUGCAAACAGCGCCCUGGGGAGAAAGUAGAAGAUUCUUCACCGAACGUUCAAACUCGGUUGAAGGCCGAAGCAUCCUCCCCGACAUCUGCCAGGACCACGCGCCCAAUAGAGGCUGGCCUCAGGGGGCACCAGCUGGCCUCAGCACCGGCUGUCCUGACCACAGGAACCGCUAAGGACAGCAACGGAGAGGUGCACGGCAUUCAGGCAGUCGUGCUUUGAGACAGUUCAAACUAUGAUUCUAUCAUUAAACUUUUUCCUUUUAAUCAAUUUGAUUGUAAGAUCAUCCGAUGGAGUUUUAUGAACAUAUUUUUUUUCUACUUACCUAUCUGGAAUGGUAAAGGAUAAUGGUGAGUUACAAAAUACAGGUUGAUCAUUCCUUAUCUGAAAUUUUAGGGCCUGGAAGUGUUCUGGGUUUGGGAGUGUUUCAGGUUUUAGAAUAUCUACUGUAUGUGCUGAACAUCUUAGAGACAGGACCCAAGUCUGAGCACGGGUUCCCUGUGCUUCACAUGCACUUUAGAGGUGUACAUCGUAUGGUUUUGCACAGUGGGCUCGGUGAACCUUGCAUUUACACUGUGACCAUCACACAGGCUCGGGUGUGAACAUUUCUGCUUGUAGUGUAAUGCUGGCAAGCAAAAAGUUUCAGAUUUUGGAACAUUUAAGAUUCGGGGUUUUGGGACCAGCAAUGUUCAACCUGUAUUAAAAGUAGAAGGAGGGGCUGGGGAUUUAAGCUCAGUGGUUCCACCGCCUGCCUUGCAAGCACAAGGUCCUGAGUUCGAUCUCCAGGACCAAAAAAAAAGUAGGAGGAGCCAAAAAAGCAAUCUAGUGCAUAUUUCCUUUUUGAUGGAUACGAAAAGUCUGAAAAACAAAGUGCUAGGCACAAUGUCACAGCUCUCACUGACGCCAGAACGGGAGCAGGAACCGAGGGCUCCCUACUUUCUUUGCUUUGUUUUGUUUUGUUUUUGAGUUAGGGUCUUGCUAUGUAUUCCAGGAUGGCCUUGAGCUCACCAUGUAGCCCAGGCUGGCCUUAAACUUGCAGCGAUCCUCCUGCCUCAGCCUUCUGAGUGCUGGGAUUACAGGCAUGCACCACCAUGCUCAGUUUAGGUCUCCUUAUUUUCUAGUCUGCCAGCUGUAAGUUCUGUUCUCUUCCACAUUUAAAAAUCUUUGAAUUUUUUUUUUUUUUUUUUGGUACCAGAGAUCGAACUUGGGACCUUACAUUUGCGAGGCAGGCAGUCCUUUGAAUUUUUUAAAGCCAGUUUUUAAAAGAAAUUUCAUAUUUAUGAUAUUACUAUAAUAAAGUAUAAUGAAGCAUUAUCAUUCUAAAUUAACUAUAAAUUUAAGUGUUAAGAUAAAUUUAGUUAUUUGGUUUUCUUAAAAAUAUAGAUUUUAGUAGCUGCUACAUUUCUUGUACUUGUAUUGCAAUCAUGAGUUUGGACUAGUUUCAGUGAAAUUGUAAAAAAAUAAAGCAGUUUGCUUGUA